rnacentral:lncRNA from 1 species
CCCCAUCGGCUGCUGGCGCUGCCGCUGCCGCUUCCCUGCCAGCCGGGGAUGUUGCCAGCAGUGGGCAGGGGCAUUGGGGGGAGGCAUACCCGGCUUCAUCCCGCCGGGUAGGAGCUGGAGGAGGGGUAACUGCCUCUCCCCGGGUGGCAGAUGACCCACAAUUGUGUACAGCCCCUCAGGUGUGAGCUGAACCACAAUUGGGGGCACCUCCUGAGGUGGGAUCAGACCCACAGUUUCGGGCAUUGCCCCAGCUGGCAGCUGAACCACAGUUAGAGGCAUACCCCCAAGUGGCAGCUGCGCUCCCUGUCCCUGCACACCCGGUACCCCCGGCUGGACAGAGGCCUGAGGCACCAUGGAGGUGACAUUGGGGGCAGGGACGGACUGGAAGGAUACGGGCACUGCUCCGCCAAUGGUGGUCUGCAUCGCAGCAGUGGCCGGUGGGGGCACAAAGAUCCAAAUAAAGUUGCGUCGGGUGUCGGAAGCACCGUCAGCGAUGAAGGGAUUCUCUCUGUGGGGAAAUUCCCAAAUGGGCGCCGGGGUGAGAUGUGGGGCACUGGGACCCCCUGGAGGGCUGCAGUGCCAGGAGCAGGAGGAGCCUGCUGCCUUACCUGCCGUGGCAGCUCGAGAGUGGCAGUGGGGGAUUCCGUGAGCGCUGGACAUCCUCCCUGGCUGCCCCUCACGUUGCCUCCCAUGCAUGGGGGGGCUGCAUGAUGCCCUGCAGCCCCAUUGCCCCCAGGUAACACCAGCACUCCCCCCCCACCUUUAUGGCCUGGGAGCUGCCCCCUGGAGAACGAGCACAGCCUCUGCCUCCCAGUGAGUGCUCAGCAGGCCUGGCUGCUCCUGGGCACCUCCACUGCUUCCUCUGCACUCUUCUUCAGGGGAUUGCAAUGGCAGGGGGUUACCGUCCCACACCCGGACAACCCGUGCUGGAAUGUGCUGUGGCUUCCUGAAUUCUGUUGUAGUAAUAAAUAAGAACUGGUAGCCGAGUUGUGCAUAUGGUUUUGUUGUUAUGUCACUGCCAGACACUGCAGGUCUGAGGGAAGAUGAGGCCUCAGGGUGCAGUAGGAGUUCUCAUCUCCGUGUCUGAACGCACUGUGCCUGCGGUGUAUCACCACUGCCUUGCCAAAGUCUCGGCCUGAUCUGCCCUGCGAAGCUCAGUGCAAUCCCCCAGCAAGGAACUUGAAGGGAAAGAGCAUCUGGGGUUAUUUUUGGUUCUUGAUCUUUUCUCUCUGCCAUUCUUUGUUCUUUACAUCCAUUUUUUCUUCCCCAUCCUUUCAGGCUGUGGGGAGAGCUCAUUGCAGCCUCCCACUGUUUCAAGGGAGCUGAUAAACAGGAGGGAAAUGAACUUUUUCUGAGGGGAGAUGGAGGUGGGACAAAGGAGAAUGGUUUUAACAUAAACGAGGGGAGAUUUGGGUCAGAUGUGGGGGAAGGUAUUCACAGAGGGGGAGCUGAGGCAGCAGUGAUGGUGAUGAAGACCAUCAGUCAGGAGGAGCUGCAGGAGCGGCAGCUCUCGGCUCACUGCAACCACACCAACAUCCCUGGAGGUGGGCUUUGGGGUGCGGGGGGUCUUUGGUGCUGCAGGAACCACUGCAGGCAGAGGGGUAGCAAAGUGAAUACAAACCAUUCAAUAAUUUAAUGUAAUUUAAUGUAAUAUAAUUUAACAUAACAUAACAGAACAGAACAUAAGAUAAGGUGAUGUAACGGAGUCCCACAUGGUCGCAGUGCACGGUGGUGGUGGUGGACAGCCCAGGUUUGGAGGGGUAGGGCCGGGGCCGGUGCUGGUGCCCCUGGAGCACUGCCGCUGCUCUGUGUGUGCCGCGGGGGCCGGCGAGGAGCCCAGGGCUCCAGGCACGGUUUCUGCGGGCGCUCCCGCUUGUGCUGAGCCCACCCAGCCUCGCCUAG